CACCGCUAUUUUACUAACCCUAAUUAUAUAGUUGAAGACUCUAAGCAGGUCAGGACAAGAAGAAGACGACACAACCGCAACUAGAGGAGGCAAAUCAUCAAGGACGGAUGGGCAGACUACGAAGGAGUAGUAAGGUCGGAAGACAUACAGCUUGAACAAAAUUAUCUGGAGGAGACCGUAGCACCAAGUCAGGUGUGGAGAGAGAAGAUAACUAUACACGAAGAAGAGGCGCUGCCGGAAGCACCGACUACGCCACCCAACGAAUCCCACGACAAGUGAGAAAACGGAGAGUCCCGUUCGGAGGACUUAAAAACACCGAAUGCCUUGCCAAGAGGCAAACUUGGUAGUUAUCCUUUUCCUUUCAAAUUAUUUAAAAUAGUUUGUUUAGUUAAUCAUGUUCAUACUAUCCUAAAAAGACAAUAAAAAUGUUAAAAAAACAGUAAGCCCCAUGUGAGUAUACGAGUGGCAUAAAACCCAUAAGUACAUUCACUGUGGUGG
rnacentral:lncRNA from 1 species